rnacentral:rRNA from 1 species
AGAGAGAGACAUGCGCGCAUAUCAAUAAGCGGAGGAAAAGAAACUAACUAGGAUUCCCUCAGUAACGGCGAGUGAAGCGGGAAGAGCUCAAAUUUGAAAUCUUCAAGGUUCUACCUUGACGAAUUGUAGUUUAAAGAAGUGUUUUCUGUUGGAGUUUUGGUAAAAGUUCUUUGGAAUAGGACAUCAUAGAGGGUGAGAAUCCCGUAUUUGACCAUUAUUUCCAGCUUUGUGAUACACUUUCAAAGAGUCGGAUUGUUUGGGAAUGCAGUCCGAAAUGGGUGGUAAAUUUCAUCUAAAGCUAAAUAUUGGCGAGAGACCGAUAGCGAACAAGUACCGUGAGGGAAAGAUGAAAAGAACUUUGAAAAGAGAGUUAAACAGUACGUGAAAUUGUCAAAAGGGAAGCGUUUGACACCAGUGUUGUUUUCUCGAAAAUCAAUUAAAAAAGGCUGGAUUUUGUGUUGUAUUGACUUUAUCAGCUUUCUGCACUCUUUUCUUGUCUUUUUUAAUGCACUUUUCGUUUAACAAGUCAACAUCAAUUUCUUUUGUUGUAAAAGGGUCAUUGGAAGGUGGCUUUCUUUUCGGAGAAAGUGUUUAUAGCCUUUGGCCUCUGCAAUCGGAGAGAUUGAGGUCUGCAGCGUAGAUCCUUCGGGGUUAGAUACAUUUGUGCUAAGUUAUAGCCUUUCAUAGACAACUUGUUGACUAUGAUCAGUCAUGUAGCUUACUCGCUUAUGCUAUUUUACCUACGCUUAGGAUGUUGACAGCAGUAUAGACUGU